GCAUGGGUGGCUCACCUGGUGGAGCAGGCGCUCAUGUGUAAUGGUUCACUCCUCGACACAGCAGCCACAGGUUCGACUCCGCCCUACCCCUCCUUACCUGCAUGUCAUUCC